UGGGGAAUAUUGCACAAUGGGCGCAAGCCUGAUGCAGCCAUGCCGCGUGUAUGAAGAAGGCCUUCGGGUUGUAAAGUACUUUCAGCGGGGAGGAAGGGAGUAAAGUUAAUACCUUUGCUCAUUGACGUUACCCGCAGAAGAAACACCGGCUAACUCCGUGCCAGCAGCCGCGGUAAUACGGCGGGUGCAAGCGAUAAUCGGAAUUACUGGGCGUAAAGCGCACGCAGGCGGUUUGUUAAGUCAGAUGUGAAAUCCCCGGGCUCAACCUGGGAACUGCAUCUGAUACUGGCAAGCUUGAGUCUCGUAGAGGGGGGUAGAAUUCCAGGUGUAGCGGUGAAAUGCGUAGAGAUCUGGAGGAAUACCGGUGGCGAAGGCGGCCCCCUGGACGAAGACUGACGCUCAGGUGCGAAAGCGUGGGGAGCAAACAGG
rnacentral:rRNA from 1 species